rnacentral:lncRNA from 1 species
ACCAAAGGUGCAUUAAAACCAAAAACAAGAGAGAAAGAAAUAACAUCAAAACCUCAAAUAAAAAUAACACAAGACAACCUCUUAAUCGAUGAAAAAGCCCACCCGAAACACCAGGCAUGCCACCCCACAAAAAGAGAAACUGAAGAGAGGUAAACACAACCAUUUGGUAAACAAAGAGAGAAAUUGGCUGACCAACCCAUCUCUAAAACCUGUUGGAACAAAUUUAGUUAAUUCCAUAUCUAUUGAGUUUUAAUCAUAACAAAGUAUUUAUAGAAAAAUUGGGUAUUCUAACAUCUAUUCAAGUAUGCA